rnacentral:rRNA from 1 species
GGACUACCCGGGUUUCUAAUCCCGUUCGCUCCCCUAGCUUUCGCGCCUCAGCGUCAGAAGAGGUCCAGCACGUCGCUUUCGCCACCGGCGUUCCUUCCGAUAUCAACGCAUUUCACCGCUCCACCGGAAGUUCCACAUGCCCCUACCUCGCUCGAGACAGCCAGUAUCAAAGGCAGUUUUCCGGUUGAGCCGAAAGAUUUCACCCCUGACUUGGCUAUCCGCCUACGCGCCCUUUAAGCCCAGUGAUUCCGAACAACGUUUGCACGGUUCGUCUUACCGCGGCUGCUGGCAC